GGGCAUAUAGCUCAGUUGGUUAGAGCACCGCUCUUAUAAGGCGGGAGUCGAUGGUUCGAGUCCAUCUAUGCCCACCC
rnacentral:tRNA from 2 species